UACGUAGGGAGCAAGCGUUGUCCGGAAUCAUUGGGCGUAAAGCGCGCGUAGGCGGCCCUGUAAGUCCGUUGUGAAAGUCAAAGGCUCAACCUUUGAAAGCCGAUGGAUACUGCAGGGCUAGAGUCCGGAAGAGGCGAGUGGAAUUCCUGGUGUAGCGGUGAAAUGCGUAGAUAUCGGGAGGAACACCUGUGGCGAAAGCGGCGCACUGGACCAUAACUGACGCUGAGGCGCGAAAGCUAGGGGAGCAAACAGG
rnacentral:rRNA from 1 species